rnacentral:rRNA from 1 species
GAUGAACGCUGGCGGCGUGCCUAAUACAUGCAAGUCGAGCGAACAGGUGAGGUGCUUGCUCCUCUGACGUUAGCGGCGGACGGGUGAGUAACACGUGGAUAGCCUGCCUAUAAGACUGGGAUAACUUCGAGAAACCGGAGCUAAUACCGGAUAAUCUAUUGAACCGCAUGGUGCAAUAGUGAAAGGCGGUUUUGCUUUCACUUAUAGGUGGUUCCGCGCCGGAUUAUCUACUUGGUGAGGGACCGGCUUCCCAAGGCAACGAUGGGUAGCCGACCUGAGAGUGUGAGCGUGCACACUGGAACUGAGACACGGUCACGACUCCGACGGGAGGGAGCAGUAGGGAAUCUUACGAAAGGGGCGAAAGCGGGACGGAGCAGCGGCGCGUGAGUGAUGAAGGUCUUCGGAUCGUAGAUCUCUGUUACUAGGGAAGAACAAAUGGGUAAGUAACUAUGCACGUCGUGACGGUACUUAAACAGAAAGCAACGGCUAACUACGUG